GACGAACGCUGGCGGCGUGCUUAACACAUGCAAGUCGAACGGAAAGGCCCUGCUUUUGUGGGGUGCUCGAGUGGCGAACGGGUGAGUAACACGUGAGUAACCUGCCCUUGACUUUGGGAUAACUUCAGGAAACUGGGGCUAAUACCGGAUAGGAGCUCCUGCUGCAUGGUGGGGGUUGGAAAGUUUCGGCGGUUGGGGAUGGACUCGCGGCUUAUCAGCUUGUUGGUGGGGUAGUGGCUUACCAAGGCUUUGACGGGUAGCCGGCCUGAGAGGGUGACCGGCCACAUUGGGACUGAGAUACGGCCCAGACUCCUACGGGAGGCAGCAGUGGGGAAUAUUGCACAAUGGGCGGAAGCCUGAUGCAUCAACGCCGCGUGCGGGAUGACGGCCCUCGGGUUGUAAACCGCUUUCGCCUGUGACGAAGCGUGAGUGACGGUAAUGGGUAAAGAAGCACCGGCUAACUACGUG
rnacentral:rRNA from 1 species